CCUACGGGAGGCAGCAGUGGGAAUAUUGCGCAAUGGGGGAAACCCUGACGCAGCAACGCCGCGUGAAGGAAGAAGGCCUUCGGGUCGUAAACUUUUGUCUUUGGGGACGAUAAUGACGGUACCAGAGGAGGAAGCCACGGCUAACUACGUGCCAGCAGCCGCGGUAAU
rnacentral:rRNA from 1 species